UACGUAGGGCGCAAGCGUUAUCCGGAAUUAUUGGGCGUAAAGAGCUCGUAGGCGGUUUGUCGCGUCUGCCGUGAAAGUCCGGGGCUCAACUCCGGAUCUGCGGUGGGUACGGGCAGACUAGAGUGCAGUAGGGGAGACUGGAAUUCCUGGUGUAGCGGUGAAAUGCGCAGAUAUCAGGAGGAACACCGGUGGCGAAGGCGGGUCUCUGGGCAGUAACUGACGCUGAGGAGCGAAAGCGUGGGGAGCGAACAGG
rnacentral:rRNA from 1 species